UUCCAUAGCAUGUUUUAGCAAUAAGAUAUGCAAAUAAUUCUUCCCUAUGCCCAUGAAAACCAGCCUGUCCUGACCCUGCAGCUCUGACGCAGGAGCCCAGUCCUGGACUCUGAGGCUCUCCCAUUCAGUAAUCAGUACUGCAGCACUGCACAGACUACUCACCAUGGACACCAGGCUCAGCUUGGUUUUCCUUGUCCUUUUCAUAAAAGGUGUCCAGUGUGAGGUGCAGCUGGUGGAGUCUGGGGGAGGCUUAGUGCAGCCUGGAAGGUCCAUGAAACUCUCCUGUGCAGCCUCAGGAUUCACUUUCAGUGACUAUUACAUGGCCUGGGUCCGCCAGGCUCCAAAGAAGGGUCUGGAGUGGGUCGCAUCCAUUAGUUAUGAGGGUAGUAGCACUUACUAUGGAGACUCCGUGAAGGGCCGAUUCACUAUCUCCAGAGAUAAUGCAAAAAGCACCCUAUACCUGCAAAUGAACAGUCUGAGGUCUGAGGACACGGCCACUUAUUAUUGUGCAAGACACACAGUGAGUGAAUGUCACUAUGAGCUUAAACACAAACCUCUUGCAGGGUAUUAUAGACCAGCAGGGGGCACAAGGAGCACAGAAAGCAUCCAGUUGCUGAGUGUUAGUUUAUGUAGAAAGACCUGGAACAAAGUAAGCCUGGGACUCCUUAGUGUCUAA